rnacentral:rRNA from 1 species
UACGUAGGGGGCUAGCGUUGUCCGGAAUCAUUGGGCGUAAAGCGCGUGUAGGCGGUCCGUUAAGUCCGCUGUGAAAGUCGGGGGCUCAACCCUCGGAUGCCGGUGGAUACUGGCGGGCUUGAGUACGGAAGAGGCGAGUGGAAUUCCUGGUGUAGCGGUGAAAUGCGCAGAUAUCAGGAGGAACACCAAUUGCGAAGGCAGCUCGCUGGGACGUGACUGACGCUGAGACGCGAAAGCGUGGGGAGCAAACAGG